GAAAUGCGAUAAGUAAUGUGAAUAGCAGAAUUCAGUGAAUCAUCGAAUCUUUGAACGCACCUUGCGCUCCUUGGUAUUCCUUGGAGCAUGCCUGUUUGAGUAUCAUGAAAUCUUCAAAGUAAAUCUUUUGUUAACUCAAUUGGUUUCUACUUUGGUAUUGGAGGUCUUUGCAGCUUCACACCUGCUCCUCUUUGUUCAUUAGCUGGAUCUCAGUGUUAUGCUUGGUUCCACUCGGCGUGAUAAGUUAUCUAUCGCUGAGGACACUGUAAAAGGUGGCCAAGGUAAAUGCAGAUGAACCGCUUCUAAUAGUCCAUUGACUUGGACAAUACUUUUAUGAUCUGAUCUCAAAUCAGGUAGGACUACCCGCUGAACUUAAGC
rnacentral:misc_RNA from 1 species